rnacentral:tRNA from 1 species
ACUAGGGCAGCAAAGCCCGGCAUAAUGCAAAAGGCCUAAGCCCUUUCCACAGAGGUUCAAAUCCUCUCCCUAGUU